AGAACGCCGCGUUUGGAGAGGAGAGAGGGUAUCGUCUCAACCGGCGCCGCGAAAAUCCAUUGAUCUUCAACUCCGAUUAACCUCCUUCUUCUUACAACGGCAGACAGUGAUUCUCUCUUCGCCUUCACCGUCGCGAUUCUUCUCUCAUGGUGCGACUCUUCUUCACCAACACAUCGGCGGCGCGGUCACUUCUUCUCCCUCUCGCUUCUUCUCAACAUGGCGGCCUCAACCUCCUCACCCUUACCUUCUCCACUUCAUGACGCUGUAAGCACGACAUCGCCACCAUCUCCUCAUGGUUUUGACUCCAUCUUGCUUUUGUUCUUCAUCUCAUAUCCGCAGUAA